rnacentral:rRNA from 1 species
AACGAACGUUAGCGGCGCGCCUAACACAUGCAAGUCGAGCGAGAAAGGGCUUCGGCCCCCGGUAAAGCGGCGCACGGGUGAGUAACACGUGGAUAACCUACCCCUUGGUGGUGGAUAACCUUCCGAAAGGGAGGGCUAAUACAGCGUAAGACCACGACUUCGAAAGAGGGUUGGGGUAAAAGUGGGCCUCUGUACACAAGCUCACGCCAGGGGAUGGGUCCGCGGCCCAUCAGCUAGUUGGUAGGGUAACGCCUACCAAGGCGAAGACGGGUAGCUGGUCUGAGAGGAUGAUCAGCCACACUGGAACUGAGACACGGUCCAGACUCCUACGGGAGGCAGCAGUGGGGAAUCUUGCGCAAUGGACGAAAGUCUGACGCAGCGACGCCGCGUGAGUGAUGAAGGCCUCGGUUGUAAAGCUCUGUGGAGAGGGACGAAGUAAGUAGUCGUCGGAAUAGACGGCGAUGAUGACGGUACCUUUUA